rnacentral:rRNA from 1 species
CCUACGGGGAGCAGCAGUGAGGAAUAUUGGUCAAUGGGCUCACGCCUGAACCAGCCAAGUCGCGUGAGGGAAGACUGCCCUAUGGGUUGUAAACCUCUUUUGUCAGGGAGCAAUUGGCGCUACGUGUAGCGUUAUCGAGAGUACCUGAAGAAAAAGCAUCGGCUAACUCCGUGCCAGCAGCCGAGGAAAUACUGAGGAUGCGAGCGUUAUCCGGAUUUAUUGGGUGUAAAGGGUGCGUAGGCGGAAUGCCAAGUCAGCGGUAAAAUCGCGGGGCUCAACCUCGCUCCGCAGUUGAAACUGGCGUGCUUGAGUGGGCGAGAGGUAUGCGGAAUGCGUGGUGUAGCGGUGAAAUGCAUAGAUAUCACGCAGAACUCCGAUUGCGAAGGCAGCAUACCGGCGCCCAACUGACGCUGAAGCACGAAAGCGUGGGUAUCGAACAGGAUUAGAUACCCUUGUAGUC